CAGUCGCCACGGUAACACGAAGGGUGCAAGCGUUAAUCGGAAUUACUGGGCGUAAAGCGUGCGUAGGCGGUUUGUCAAGACAGAUGUGAAAUCCCCGGGCUCAACCUGGGAACUGCAUUUGUGACUGGCAAGCUAGGGUGUGGCAGAGGGGGGGUGGAAUUCCGCGUGUAGCAGUGAAAUGCGUAGAUAUGCGGAGGAACACCGAUGGCGAAGGCAGCCCCCUGGGCCAACACUGACGCUCAUGCACGAAAGCGUGGGGAGCAAACAGGAUUAGAUACCCCUGUAGUCCCUGUCUCUUAUA
rnacentral:rRNA from 1 species